GUGGGGAAUAUUGCGCAAUGGACGAAAGUCUGACGCAGCGACGCCGCGUGAGUGAAGAAGGCCUUCGGGUUGUAAAGCUCUGUCGGAUGGGACGAAAACCUUACAGUUAACAGCUGUGAGCUUGACGGUACCGUCAAAGGAAGCACCGGCUAACUCUGUGCCAGCAGCCGCGGUAAUACAGAGGGUGCAAGCGUUGCUCGGAAUUAUUGGGCGUAAAGGGCAAGUAGGUGGUCUCGUUUGUCCCGGGUGAAAUCCCUGAGCUUAACUCAGGAAGUGCCCUGGAAACGGCGAGACUGGAGUACUGGAGAGGUUCGUGGAAUUCCCGGUGUAGCGGUGAAAUGCGUAGAGAUCGGGAGGAACACCUGAGGCGAAAGCGGCGAACUGGACAGUUACUGACACUCAACUGCGAAAGCGUGGGGAGCAAACAGGAUUAGAAACCCCAGUAGUCC
rnacentral:rRNA from 1 species